UCUAAAAACUAAAAAAUAAAGUCUUGAAAACAACAGAAAGAAAGAAAGAAUGCCCAUAUUAGCUUAGAAAAAAAGAUUCCAAAAUAAAAUGACAUUAAAUGAAUGGGUACAAGUCACACAAAACACAUGUGAGAAAAAUAAAGCAGUGGUCAUGACAUCAGUAUAAAACAAUAUUAAAUUUUAUGACAAUGAUCAACUAAUGGGAAAGACAUAAUAAUAGGGAAUAAAAUUCAUAAUGAAGAUUGAAAUAUAGUAGAUAUGUAUAAAGCAAAUAACAUAAUAUCAAAAUUCAUAAAGCAAAAGCCAUAGUCUAUACAAGCAGAAAUAGAGAGUAAGAGCUUAUCAAUAGAAGACUAAUUCAUUUAUGUUAACUUAUACACAUAAAACUGUAUACACAUAUACAGAAAAAAAUAAGCUUACAGAAGUUUGAACAUAGUAAGGUAUAUCUAAUUGUUAGAAACCAAAUCCUGUAGCCUAAGAAAGAUAUUAUAUUUUUUUCAAGGAUCCAUGAGACAUUCACAAAAAUUGAAAAAGAAAAUAAAUCAAUUCCAAAAAGUAUGAUUUGUGGCAUUCUAUGAUCAAAGCAGUAAAACAGGAACUAAUAACAAAACUAACUCUCUACCAGGGAAAAAGCCCACCACACUAUACUGCAUAGGCAUUUUGAAAUUUUCUUAAAUAAUGGCUCAAAAAGGGAAACAAAACCAGUAUUUCAAAAAUUUUAAAGCAACAGUAAGGACAUUCACAUCCCAUGAGGUAAUUCAGAAAAUGGAGGAAACUUUAUAUUCGAAAAUACUUAUGUUAGUAAAUAAAAAAUGAUGAAAAUAAAUGAAAAACAAUAAAAUAAAGUAAAAAUGAGGAAUGACUAAAGUAAAACAUAGGGAAAAUAUGAAUUAUUUAAUAAGUUAUGUUAACUCAAAUGACCAGCAAUCUAGACAAAAGUAACUCAUGUAAAAGUAAUUUUGUUCACCAAAAUUACUCCAAGUGUAUAAAAUACUUAAAGAUAAUGACAAAAACUCUAAAAGCACUGGAAUUACCAUUGGGGUUUUUAGAAAGUUAUUUUAGAAAGUCCUAUUAUAAAUCUUGACAAAAAUUCAGAACCCACAAAGGAAAAAAAAUCCAUGAUGUUUUGAUUGAAAAGAACUAAAACAAUUCGUCAAGGUAUAAUACACAUAAAAAAUACCAUAUUUUUUUUAAAUAGAAGAAAAAAGACCAACUUUUUAAAUAAGCUAAGUGUUCUUAUGUAUUAGUACCAAAAGAAUCUGUGACACCCAUAGAUCUUAUGACAAGAUAAUAAACAUCAUUCAUAAUGUAAGAAAUCCAAAUUAAAAUUGCAUUUGACUAAGGAAAAUGGCACAUUGGUAAACCUUCUUAGUAAAUUUGCACAUCUCUUUGUAAGGAAAUUUGAUACUAUCUGUCACCAGUUAGAAGCACAUAUUUUAUUUAAAAAAUUGUUGGUGACUUAUCCCACAGAUACAAUGGUAUGUAUGAAUGAAGACUUUCACAAGGAUAUUCAUUACAGCACUGCUCAUAUGGCAAAAUAAAACAUUUUAAACAACUACUUGCCUAUCCAUAGUGGUGUGGUAAAAUAAAUUUUAUUAGAUGCAAUAAAUCCUAAGUAGCUGAUAAAAAGGAAUGAGGCAGAUGUAUUAUAUGCACUAAUUUAGAAAAAUCUUGGAGAAUUUUAUUUCACAGAAGAAGCAAAAUUCACAAUAUUAUGUAUCUAUAUUAACCUUUUGGAUUAAAAAAAAUGUGUUAAAGGGUAAGACAGAUACACAUAUAUAUGCUUUAUGAGGCAUCGACUAUUUCUGGAUAUAUUCAGGAAUUUAUUCAUUCAAAUCAAACAUAUUUAUAUAAUGCCAAUGCCCAUUUUAAGCAUAUGGAACAUAUGGAUAAAAUACACAGUAUCUCAGUCCUACAACUUGCUUUCUAGUGGAGAAGAGAGUGGAGAAUGAACAUAAUUAAUAAGUGAAUUAUAUGUAUGCUAAAAAGGAAUAAAAUCAAUGCUAAGAGAAAAAAUAGAGCAUGAUAUGGGGCUCCAGAGAGGUAUGUGGGUGGAAAUGUUAUUUUAUUUUUUAAAUUGGUUUAUUUAUUUUUGAGAGAGAGAGAGCAAACAAGGAGGGGCAGGGAGAUGGAGAGAGAGAGAGAAUCCCAGGCAGGCUCUGCAGAGUGAGUGCAGAGCCCAACAUGGGGCUCGAACUCACAAAUCCUUGAGAUCAUGACCUGAGCUAAAACCAAAAGUCAGACGCUUAAAGAACUGAGCCACCCAAGCACCCCUGAUGGGUUGAAAUUUUAAAUCGAGUGGUGAUUCAACCAUAAAUUGUACAACUGUAUUUGUCUUCAUUUGGUACUAAAGUUAAGGACAGCUAUUGGGUCAAACAAAAAGGCAGGAAAGAAAGUGUCAUACAUACUGAAUUAAGUAUGUGCUCUGUUAUGUAGCAACCAAAUGUCUUUGGGCAAAUUAAAAAAAAAAAAAAAAAAAAAAAACACCUCUAAUGUCUCUCCUGCUAGCUGGAAUAGAAAGAAUGGUUGAUGAGAAGUCAGAAGUUCUAGAUUGGAAGGUCAGUUUUUAUCUUUCCUGGCUACUUGAGCCUGAGAAAGAAUGAAGUCUCUAAGCUUCGGUUUUCUCAAGUGUAAAUAAGAACACUGUUACCCACAUCAGAGGUAUAUUUGUGAACAUUACCUGAGAUAAUUCAUGUGAAAAAUAUCAUUAUGUAAAAAUACUAUAAACUAAAAGGUAUAAAUGACAGGCCUUUGGCCAAAUCUAGCCACAAAUGUGUUUGAAUUGGCUGAUAUAGUUUUGGCUUCCACAGUGCCAUAAAACAAUUUUAAUUGAUUGCCAACUUUCAAAGAUUAAAUGGUUUCAUAUAAAAUAUGGAUCUUGAAUUUUCCUGAAAAAAAAUCAUCUUAGCCGGUUAUAUUGGGCCCAUAUUCUUCAUGGUAAAAGCAGCUAAAUGUGAGUAGCGUUUAAUCUACUAUUUGUGGCACUUUGUGCCACUCAGUCAUUUUCCCCUGACAGUGAAGGCUCAGUUCGCCUUAUGUCUGGUCAGCUUCACUCACUUGUAUCUUACUUACCUCCUCUUGGCAAUGGUCUUUGUUUGUGUCACCCACCACUGUAGGCUAAAGUGCUUUUCAGAUUUCAGCACCAAGACAUUAACGAGUGAGCCACUUGUCUGUCGUCAGUUUUGAGACUAAAUAUAGAAAAUGCUCCCAUUGCCAAUCUGGGAUUGACCUCUGCUUAUUUGCUAGGGUUUCUCCAGUUCCCCAAGCAUACCAAGCAUGCAGUUAUAAGUGUCAUCAAAGUGUAUAGUGUGAACGAAAACAUGGAUGAAUGAUUGUGCUUACUACCUUCAGGGUAUCCCAAACAAUGUAUGGCCCAAACUGUGAACUGAAAUGUACCUGUUAAAAUGGUGGACUUUGCAAUCCUGUGGACGGAAGCUGUACUUGUUAUCUUAGAUGGACAGGAAAUUAUUGUGGAAAAGUUCUGGCAUCUGGGAAAUCUAACAUUAAGGUGCCAGCCAAUUUGGUUCCUGGAGAAAGCCCUAUUUUCUGAUUUGCAGGUAACUUUUCUAUUAUUUUAUCCUUUUAUGGCAGACAGAGAAAGAGUGUGAAAGCUCUCUUGUGUCUCAUCUAAUAAGGGCACUAGGUCCAUCAUAAAGUUCCACCCUCCUUUGUAUGGCCUUUUUCUCCAACAGGAUAAUUGGGUUUCUUAGGUGACUGCUGAUUUCCCAAAGCAGAGGUUAUCAGGUCUUCCUAAGGCUUGGGAGUGAUAUAACAUCACUUCUACCACAUCCUAUUGGAUAAGGCAAGUCAUAGGAUUAAUGCAGAUUCCAUGUGGGAUGGGCAGUACAAGAGUGCAAAUCCCAGGGGAUAUGGUUUAUUAGGAGCAUCUUUGGAUUACAGAUUCUGCAUGAUUCAGAGUUUCUUGUUGUUUGUAAUAAGAUAUAUCUUUUAUUCCCUCUAUUUUUUUCUUUUUUAGUUUCAGUCAUAAUUAAGAAUUUAUUUCCCAUUUUCAAGUUUUAGGAGAAUUCAUUCAUGUUUUCUUUUCAUACUUGUAGCAUGUCAUUUUUGACACUUAAUUCUCUGAUCAAUUUUAAGUAUUUUUCCUGGUGUAUGGUGUAAGGAAUAUAUCUAUUUUCCCUUUAUAUAGCUUUUCAGUUAUUAUAUGGCAACUUUUAAAGUCUAUCUUACCCACUGCUUUGAGAUGCAGCCUUCAUCAAAUACUAAACAUUUAUAUGCAGUUAGAUAUAGUUCUGGAUGCUCUAUUUUAUUGGUUUGUUUAUUUAUGUGCAAAUGAAAUGAAAUACUGUUUUAUUAUGAGUCUUUAUUAUAUAUAUAUUUGAUACUGAUAGGGCAAGCCACCAUUCAUUGCUGUUAUUUUCAGGGAUUUCCUGAUACAUUUUUGUGUUUGUGUCCCACUAAAUAAACUUUAUAACUAAAUUGUCUAGAUGCAAAAAUGAAAAAAAAACAAAAAAACAAAAACAAAAUACAGGUGUUUUUGUUUGUUUGUUGCUGUUUUCGUCCUCUGCAUUUACUCUGUUAGGGAAAAUUAACAUAUUUAUGAUGUUAACUCAUUUUAUCCCAAAACAAGCAUGCUCUAUUUGUUCAAUAUUUUUGUUUCCCAUCAAGUGAAAUGUUGGGUUUUAAUAUCCAUAUUAAGAUAGCUAUUAAUUUUCUGAUUUAUUCAAUGAUUUUACUGAAUUUUUUAGUCAAUUUAUUUUUUGAAUAUAUUUUCUGCAUCUAUGGAAUUAAUAAUAUGAUUUUUCUCUUUUGACUGAUAAAUAUGAUGCAUGUAUUAAUGAAUUUUCUAAUGUUGAAUGACCUUACAUUUUUGGAAUAAAUACUACUUGAUCAUGAUAUAUUGCUUUAUAAUAUGCUGUUGGUUUCUGUGUACUUACAUUUUUUAUGAAUUUGGCAUCAAUAUUCAUAGGUAAAAUUAAGCUGUAGUUUUAUAUGCAUUUUGUCAGGUUUUGGAAUUGAUGUUAUACUCAAUAAAAUGUAUUUGAAAUUACUCUUCCUUUUCAGUGCUCUGAAAUAGUGUAUAUAGUAAGGUGAUAAUCUCAUCCACAAAGGCUUAUAGAAUUCCAUAUGAAACCUAAGACUGGUGGGAUUUUUGUUGCUGUUGUUUUAAAUCAGAAACUAUUUUACUAUUUGCUUUAUUGUGUUUGUAUUAUAAUUAGUCUAUCUAGGUUUUCAGCCUCAAAUUAGAGGAAUUUUGGUAAGUUGUCUUCUAUAAGUUUUCCAUUUCCUUUAGGUUUUUAUACUUAUUUGUAUCAUGCUUUUUGUAAGAUAGUGGUCCAGCUUUCCUUUUUAUGGUUAGUCCACAUUAAAAAAAAAAAAAUUGGGUAUGUUUCUGUUUUUGUCUUGAUUAGGUUAGCUAAUGAUUUGCUCUUAUUUUUUUAUCGAUUCUUCAGUUUGUUUCUGUUUUUGAACUCAUUACUACAAAUUCAGUGGCCUUAACUAGAACUAAUGCUUGGGUGGUUUCUUUUUCAGAAUGUUCCUAGUUAUUAUGGCUCAGGCUGCCAUUUUAAUUGCUCAUGUCAGAACAAUGGAGUCUGCAGUCGGUUUUCUAAAAGCUGUGAGUGCCUUUAAGGUUCCCACAGAAGGAACUGUGAACAUGGUAAACAGAGAUAACAAGUGGGCAUUUCAUAGUGUUGACAAGUUUUAAGCUUUAAAAACUGCUUUGGGGCGCCUGGGUGGCUCAGUUGUUUGAGCAUCUGACUUCAGCUCAGGUCAUGAUCUCCCAGUUUGUUUGAGCCCCGCAUGGGGCUCUGUACUGACAGCUCAGAGCCUGGAGCCUGCUUCAGAUUCUGUGUCUCCCUCUCUCUCUGCUCCUCCCCUGCUUGUGCCCUCUCUCUCUUUCUCAAAAAUAAAUACACGUUAAAAAAAUUAAACUGCUUUAAAUCAUUAAAGUAAUACAUUCACAUUAUAUCAAAUUAGUAAACUGUUAAUGAUUUAGUUUCUUACAAUGGAUUUCAUAGCUCUAAUUUAAGUUCUAGAUGUUGCAUCUAGAUGUUGCCAUGAUGAAGUAAUUGAACUUGUUCAUUCUUUUUAUAACUCUUGUUCAACAAUGAUUCCAUGGUUCCAGGAGCAUCUGGAGUAGACACAAGCAGAGGAGUCAGCUGCCAUACUUUUUGAACAAAGUUGUUCUUCCUCUGCCUUUAGGCAAAAUAUAGACAAGCUCUGGCAAACAUAUUUCCUGGGAACAAAUCUUAUUAAGCUUUCUGAAGUUUAGAAUUCUCGCCAACUACUCUGAGGUUUCUUAGGUCAGGAAGUAUUGAAUCAAACGUCUUGUAGUUUUCGUUUGUUUUGUCUUCAAGAUCGGAGUAACAGAUACAAGAGAGUAAAAUAUAUUUAUUCGAAGCCCAUAAAUUUCAUCUUCUGUGUAGCUGCUUAUCAAGGAAGAUUUUGAGCAGACAGGAGACAUCACUCUGGUGAAACAAAUCUGCAAAGUGGGUACAUUGUUGAUCAUCGGGAAGGAUAGUUUAGCAAUUGUACAAGAACAAACAGAAGAAACAUUGCAUUGGAUCUUCCUUUGUUACUUAUUUUUGAAGAUUUAUGAGAUCAGACAAUAGAAGGCGUGCCUUCCUGGAUUUUAUGGUUUGGAUUGUGCUCACAUCUGUGACUGCAAAAAUGGAGCCAGUUGUGAUGCAGUGCAUGGACAGUGCAUUUGCCCAGCAGGUUUCCACCAGUGUGAAAAAGAGUGUUCACUUGGAAUGUUCGGAGACAAUUGCCAUCAACUUUGUGACUGUGAAUGAGAAAGUUCCUGCCACUCAGUAACUGGAAAAUACUUCUACCCACCUGAGAAAACUGGAGCCACAUGUGAUGGUGAAUGCAGGUCAGGCCAGUAUGGAUCGAACUGUGCUCUGAAGUGUCAGUGUACCCACAGAGCUCACUGUAACUCUCAUGUUGGAAGCUGCACUUGCCCCUCAAAGAGAAUGGGUUCAACGUGUGAGGAAAAUGAUUUGGGCGAGCCUCAAUAACCAAAUACUAGCAGCUUUUCAGUGGGUGAAUAGAAUGUUGCCAGGGUUCACCCAUGGUUCAUCAUCUUAACUUUGGCAGAGAAAUGUACUUACUCAACAACUAUCUUCGGCCCAGCUUCGCCUGUUGUGAGGUGAAAAACAGGACGUUUCAACUUUAUGGCUUCCAAAGACAAGUUCCAUUCUCUAACCUACCCUUCCCAACUGCUUUUUGCUGAAGAACAUGCCCAAGAAAAAGAAUGUUUUUUCAAGAUCCCAAUCAUAGUAACAUUUUGGACUAAUAAAUAAAACUUUUUUUUUUAUAUGCACAGGCGGUAUUUAAAUUUGGAUUGAAGAACUGCUUCUCAGUUCAGGUUGGACUGCACUGAAAUAUUCACACCUAUUCACCGAAGACCUCAGUGGCUAUUAAGUAGCUGGAUCCUCUUUAGAAAUGUCUAGAAUUUCAUCUAUUUAUUCUCAGUAUCCUGCUUCACAGUUCAGUCUGCUUCAGAUUGUUAAUGUAUUGUAUUUCAAACAUGACUUUUGGUGUGGGAGACCAUUAAGACGAAGCCACAUAAAAAUCAGUGUAAAAGUAUGAUGUGCACACUUAUAAUGAAUCAUCAAAAUGUUUAGUGGUGUUCUCCCCAUCAAUGGUCAGCCUACAGGAAAAAAGUCAGUGAGCAAGGCAAGUUCUUAGCCAGCCCUCGGAGACAGAUUUCCCAUAGAGAAGGGCCUGCUGGGAAUUAGGCUUUUAAUCCACAUUGGUAUUCUUCACCCAAAUUGCUCAUCAACCAGUGUCUCUUGGCUAUACCUAUCUGACCUGCAAAGAGAAUAAGAUAUAGAAAAACAACAUUCUCUUUUGGGCUGCCAUCCACCGCUGGACUCCCUUCAUUUCAAGACUUAAAAAAACAGUGACUACAGAGAAAAGAAGCAAGAAACCAGAUUUCUCUUCCUUACUAGAGAUGUUAUCUCCUAUUAAGACAGGCAAGAAACUCUAGAUUUGGCAGGGUAAAAAAGAGUGAAAAAUCAUCAGUGUUUUCACAGCUCCUGAUAUCAUUUGCCAGCCCCCUCUGAAAGUGUCCCAGAUUCACAGAGGAGGAUAAAUAUGAAGAAAGGGCAGUAUUGGAUCAUACACAAGGAUAUAAAACACUCCAUGUGACAAUGAAAGGGGUUAAAUCAUCUUGUGAUCCAGUAAAAAAUUUCCUUCAUACUUGGGAAUCAAUUUUCAUGCUCUUGUCUAAUCAUGAGAAAAACAUCAGCCAAAUCCCAACAGAGGGAUGUUCCACAAAACACUUGACUAGUACUCCUCAAAAUCAUCAAGCCAACAACAAACAAGGGAAGUCAGAAAUUGUCAUAGGAGAAAGAAGCAUAUGGAAACACUACAACCAAAUGCAAUAUGGUAUCCUCAACAGGCUAGGACACAGGUAAAAAUUAAGAAAAUCUGAGUGAGGUGUGCACUUUAAUUAAUAGUAAUGUAUCAAUAUCAGUUCAUUAGUUGUUACAAGUGUACCCUACUCAUGUAAGAUGUUAAUAAAGGAAACUGUGUGUGGGAAUUCUCUGUAGUAUAUCUGCAAUUUUUCUUUAAAUCUAAAAUUGUUCUAAAUUGAAAAGUCUAAUUUUUUUUUAAAUGACUCUUUCAGCCUUAGAAAUCUUAUCAGACUAAAAUUCUUGUGGCCACAAGUUGAAUCCUAUUUAUUCUGGUUGUUUUUAAAAGAGUAGGAUUGUAUUUGUUUCUUAUGGCUGUCAUAACAAAGUAUCACAAACUGUGUGACUUACAUAACAAGAUUGUCUCAUAGCUCUGCUAGAUACAAGUCUGAGAUCAAAAUGUCAGCAAGGUUGGUUCUUUCUGAGGGCUGUGAGGAAAAUUCUGUUCCAUGCCUCUCAUCUAACCCCUGCUGGUGUCUGGCAAUCUUUGACAUUCUUUGGCUUAUAGAUGCAGUGCCCUGAUCCCUGCCAUUAUCUUCACACGGUGUUCUCCUUGUCUGUGUGUGUAUCUGUCUCUUCCUAGGUUUCCAUUUCAGAAGGGUACUAGUCAUAUUAAAUUAGGUUCUACACUAAUAAGCUCAACUUAACUUGAUCUACAAAGACUUCAUUCUCAAAGUCACAUUCAUAGGUACUGGGUACUUUCAAGAUUUCUUGGAGGGACGCAAUUUAAUUCAUAACCCAAUCUUUGAAAUCUAAAUGUCUGUUCAUCUAGGAAAUCACCUCACUUAUUGGAUGACCAAAUUAGACUGGUAUUGUUUGGAUAGUUUUCUUAUGAGCCUAUAACUGAUACUUACUGCAAGUGAUCUUGGAGUUAAUGAACUACUGACCCUUUCAUGGGGCCAACCAGAUUUCAGGCUUUUUAGUACAUUUGAGUUGACACAAUCACAGCUAAAACUACAGAUAUAGAUCCAGCUACUUUUUAAAUUGACAAGAAUUUUUAAGCUCAAGUGAAUAUAAGUACAUUGAAUUUGGAUAUGCAUAUUUCUCUCUUCUUGUCCCCACUACUCCUCUCCAUCUGCCUCACGUCCACACAUGUUCAAUAGUCAAAGUGUUCAGAUAUUAUUAUAAAGCACAAUACUGAUCAAUCAUAAAGAAUUUUUCAAGGCAUAGUUCCAAGAAAUCUGCCCAGCCAAGCCUUUUGGAGACAAUAUGUAUGUAGACAGGAGCACCUGUCUAUGGAGUAGAUUACGGACUCCUCAACUAAUCAGAUUUAUGAACCCACUAAUGUGGGCAUUUAUCCUAUCCUCUUUCUCACCUGUUAUAAUGGAUAUACUGCUAUUACUCCUUUUUAAGGCUAAUUUCUCCAGUUGGCUUCAAAUCACAUCACUUCAAAGAGACACAAAAUAAACACUAUAAAUAAGUAAAAUGCAUAUUUUAGAUAGUAUAUAAAAUAGUAAUGAGUGUUAAGAAAAAAAAUAAAGCAUAGAAAGACAACAUAAAAUGAUGUCAGACUACAUGAAAUUUUAGAUAAGAUGUUUAGGGAUGAUCACACUGAAAAGUUAACUGUAUAGUGAAGAACCAAAAGAAAUGAGAAAUUCAGGUAUGUGGACAUCCGCAGGGAGACAACCAGUAAUGUUCCAGGCAGAGGGAACAGCUAAUCUGAAAGCAGUAAAGAGAGGGCCUUCCUGGCAUGUUUGAGACCCAGGUGGCUGGAACAGAGAGAAUGAAGGGGGGAAUAUUAAGAGACGAAAUCAGAGAGAUAUCAGGGAACCAGAUUACUUAGGUGGUUGUUCAACAUAGUCUUUUGGUUUUUACAUUGAAUGAUGUAGAAAUCCAUUGAACUAUGUUUGAAAAGAGGAAUCACAAGAAAAUAA